rnacentral:tRNA from 6 species
GCGGAAGUGGCGGAAUUGGUAGACGCGCUGGCUUCAGGUGCCAGUGGUGGCAACACCGUGGAGGUUCGAGUCCUCUCUUCCGCA